GCUUCCAUCAAGUAUUCACUACGAUCCAGUAGUGAAUAAUGCUAAAUCUACAUCCAGUAUUCACUAUGAUCCACUCCAUAAUCUCAUAGCCGUUGUUUCUGGUUGCAAACAGGGUAAGGAAAUGUAACUAGUGGGAAAUUUAGUUUGGCAUGCAACUUAUAAUUUUAUCAACUGCUAGUUCGUGUCGAAGUCCUCUUAAUGCUUUAUGCAUAUUCUGGUCACAAGUAUGCUCUUCCACUAAUACUCUUAUAUUUUUCUAUCUUCAUUUCUUCAUCCAGAUCGGAGUCGUAAUAUUUUUGUUGACAUGUAUAUAAUUCAUUGGAGCAAUACACAAUGUCUUGAAAUAGAUAUGAAGGUGCGAAGGUUUUCUUCAUUGGAUUAAACCUACUGUGCUUAGUACAAAGCUACUUGUUUUUUUUUUUUUUUUUGGGGUCUCUAUAAGAAGCUUAUUUUCCAUCCAGUCAACAUUUUUCUAUUUAAUUUAUAAUGAUAAGGUAAUAUCCCUUAAUUUAGAAGAGUUUUGAAUAAUGAUAAACAUUACUGCCAGCUUGUUCUUCAGGCUUUUCUCAAGAGACAGCCACCUAAGUUAAGAUCCAAGAGACCAAGACUGGUCAAUCCACCCAAGUUGACUGCCGACACAGUUUUAAUUAGUUCUCCCUUCAAACUAAAAGAUAUAUGGAAUGAUUAUAUUUCACAUGAAAUGGUUCUACUUGAAAGCAGUUUGAAAUUAAUCUUUUUCGACUUUUGGAACUCCUUUCCCAUGCUGGUAUAUGGUGAGGCUUUAAAUCACAGGAACAUUGCCUGUCUAUUUUUUUUUUGAUAAAGAUUGCCUUUCUAAUUGUAAGACUGUCUUAAUAACAUAACGGCUAUCUGCCCUGUGAUGUCAAAUUCUUAUAUUUAUUUGGAAAGGAAUUAGAUAUAUUAUUUGAUUAACUUUUUUUUCCCCCUCUCAUGUUAUGUUAGACAAUGCUUAUCUUUUGGUAGGUCUGUUGACUUAAAAGACCCUGAUUAUGCUCAUUGGACUACUCCCACAUUCUUCAGGCUGUCAAUGCACUUUUUAUACCCGAGGGCUGGUAAUGUUUUGGUCUUGCUUAUAGUAUUUUCAGUAUUCUUUGGAUCAUGGAUCAAUUGUUUUUCGUAGGCCAUCCUGCAAUUUGUUAUCAUCGAUUCUAAUCGUGCAAGCUUUGUAAGUGUUUGAAUCAUAUAAAUCAUGAAAAUUUUCUAGAAUUAUUUUUAACAGCUUUAAUAAUUUGGUGGGUAAAUUUGCUCACCACUUUGAAUGUCAUUUAGGAGGUCACCUGUUAGGGCACAAAUAUCCCCUCGUAUUUAGGGCUGCCUUGGAUGUCCAUCUUGGAACUUUUUGUCUCUUAAAACCUUAGUAACAUUGACAUUGGUGCAAAGUAUCUGACACAGUUUCUUAAAAAACUUGGGAUACAAGGAAUAUGGAUUGUGAUUCAUUUAUAACACAUGGUUAAAUAAAAGAAACUAUAUCCCUUCUACUUGCUGUUCUGUAUCUGUUUCUCUUUUUAUCUAACUCUAAUCAAAGAAUGAAUAAAACUUUUCUUUUUCUCUCAAUGUAACUCUCUUCAUUUUCUUCAUACUUUAGAGCGAUGUGUGCAAUAUGUGUCGUAGUGUGUCCGACACGCGUGUUCUGUGUCCGCAUAUCCGACACGGAUUUUUUUUUUUUUUUUUGAAAACAUGGUGUGUCCAUGUUGCAUAGCUUAAAGCUGUAAACUCAUGCUUAUCCAUAUGUUAGGCUGACAAGAAGAGAUGGAGGUCAUUCUGAUAUAUCAUCAAUGCCUCAAUGGACUGGUAUCCUUAUUUUUUCCUCAUUUAACAAUUUGCAGGUUGUCUCUGAAAGGAUGCUCUUGCUUUCUAAGAAAAUGAAUGACCAGUCGAAAAAUACUGUGUCUAAUCAGAUUUCAGUUAGGAAGAAAAUUAGAAUGUAGUCCGAUCUGCCUCGUAUCUGGAAUCUCACAUAAGAAGUAUUAGGUUAGAAGUUUAUCCUCUGCCACUAAGAAAAUGAAUGACCAGUCGAAAAAUACUGUGUCCAAUCAGAUUUCAGUUAGGAAGAAAAUUAGAAUGUAGUCCGAUCUGCCUCGUAUCUGGAAUCUCACAUAAGAAGUAUUAGGUUAGAAGUUCAUCCUCUGCCACUAGUUCCAAUUGUUGAAGGAAAGUUAUAGUGCAUAUUAACUGCUGCAAUUUGAUGGCUAUAAUCAUGUUACAUAUUUUGGUUAUUACCUUAAUACAAUACAUUCAGGGGACCUAUCAAAGUUCUAACGUGAUUCUUCCUGGUGGUAUUUUUGAAAUAUGGACUACCAUAAACUUCUGUAAUUAUCUUCAAGUUGCUUUGGCAUUGCUUUUGCUCUUAUCUUUACAUAAUGUUAUGUUUCGAUCUUGCCUCUCAUCCAUCCAAGUGGUGUUGUAGCAGAAAUAUACUCUUGCUCCGACAACUAAAUGAGAUAUAUAUGUAUUGGUCAGAAAGUCUUGUUAACCAUCUUAUAUCCUAUCCGUCAGAUUUAAUUUGAUCAGUAGAUGAGAUUGGGAGUGUGAUUGGAGUCGAUAUAAGGGAGUCACUUUAGGUUCUUUUGUAGGGAAAACAUUAUGUUCCUUCCACAUGACUAGAAAAUAUAUAGUCACUGUCAUAUGUAGACAAAUCAAAAGACAAAGCAUGUUGUGGGGCUGAUUUAGAGGAGGGUAGAAAUGUUGUAAGACACUUUAAGUGCUCAACAACUUUUACUGUCACUAAUGUCUUUUACAUUGUAAUGAUUCCCCUUUUCUGUUGUGUUACUACCCUCCCGAUCUAUGUAACACCAUUCUUUCAUUUAUAUUGCAACUUCCUUACCAAAAAACAAAACUAGCAAGUCUAGCCAUGGGGGGGUUGUGACAAUCAAGAUCAGGAACAAUAUUAGGUCUAUGCGAGGGGUUGGUGAGAAUCAAGAUCAUGGACAUUGUGUCACAGAAUUACCCUAACUAGAUAGUUUCUACUAAUGUUGAGAAACAAAUGUUUUCCCACAUUUCUUGAAGAAGGUUGGGGUGUAGACUUUUGACAGUCAUUUUGAAAUUUUCUUUUCAACGUUUUAUGAUAACCUGUUGUUUAUUAAUAUUGCUGUUUUGCAUGUUUCUAUAUCUGUACUCCUUCAGGGGUAUUGGCUAUCAUUAUCUGAUAUGGACAUUGCUUAAUGGAAAACGUUCUUGACGCACAAAUCGCGCAUGCUGCUUGCAAAUCAAAUAGCAUCUUGGAUGGUUGGAGGUUAAAAUCAGUAAAUCACCAUAAGUAGUAAUUCUACCACAAUUUUCUCCAUCGCUAUUCACUAGUCACUGCUCACCAUAGGUGAAAAAAUCGUUUUAGUCCGGAUAUCCGAUCUCUAAAAAACUGGAUUAUUCCGCGAAUAUCCGACCUCCCAUGUCGGAUUUUUGAGGUUUGGUAAAUUCAAAUGUACUGGAAUUGGG
rnacentral:lncRNA from 1 species